rnacentral:rRNA from 1 species
AUUGAACGCUGGCGGCAUGCUUUACACAUGCAAGUCGAACGGCAGCGGGGAGGAGCUUGCUUCUCUGCCGGCGAGUGGCGAACGGGUGAGUAAUACAUCGGAACGUGUCGAGAAGAGUGGGAUAACCACCCGAAAGGGUGGCUAAUACCGCAUAAAUUCUGAGGAAGAAAGCUGGGGACCUAGGAAUAGGCCUAGCGCUUUUUGAGCGGCCGAUGUCGGAUUAGCUAGUUGGUGAGGUAAAGGCUCACCAAGGCGAAGAUCUGUAGCGGGUCUGAGAGGUUGAUCCGCCACACUGGGACUGAGACACGGCCCAGACUCCUACGGGAGGCAGCAGUGGGGAAUUUUGGACAAUGGGGGCAACCCUGAUCCAGCCAUGCCGCGUGUAUGAAGAAGGCCUUAGGGUUGUAAAGUACUUUUGUUAGGGAAGAAAAGUCAGCUGUGAAUAAUGGCUGAUACUGACGGUACCUAAAGAAUAAGCACCGGCUAACUACGUG